GGUGUUAGACCCGUUGAAGUGUGCUAGCUCAUUAUUGGUGCUUCCUAUGAGUCGGAUUGUUUGAGAAUGCAGUCCAAAUCGGGUGGUAAACUCCAUCUAAGGCUAAAUACUUGUAUGAGUCCGAUAGCAAACAAGUACCGUGAGGGAAAGUUGAAAAGAACUUUGAAGAGAGAGUUAAAUAGUACGUGAAAUCGCUUAGAGGUAAACGAGUGGAGCCGAAAAAGUCGUAUGGGAUUCAGUUGCGUGUGCGAUGGCAAUUGAUUUAGUGACAACCACAAAUGGCAUCAUUAAAUUGAUUAGUUGUUGUGCAUACAAUGCACUUUCUGUUCGAUCAAACUGUGACCAAUAGAGUUGUUUCAAUAUCGUGGUGGUGAAGGUGACCAGUUGCUUGCAAUUGGUUUUAUAGCUCAUUACAUGUUGAAAUAAUGUAUUGGUAAAUAGGCAAUCAGUUAACGUUGGCAAUCCGUUAUCAGUAUGGUUUCGUAGUGGACUACAUGUAGACUAUUAUGAAAAUGUAUCGGUAUUGGGUUGUUGAUGGAUUGAUUUAAAGUCACAGUAUAAUGUAGGUUAUCUACUCGUCCCGUCUUGAAACACGGACCAAGGAGUUUUAUAUGAUCGCGAGUCAAAGGGCUAUACGAAACCCCAGGGCGCAAUUAACGUAAAAGUUUAUUUAGUAAGCUGUGGUAUGACCUGACAUUGUCAGUGCAAUAUCGACCCGUCUAAAGAUGUUCGCAUCUGGGCGGAGUUUGAGCGAUCAUGUAGAGACCCGAAAGAUGGUGAACUAUGCUUGUGCAGGUUGAAGUCAGAGGAAACUCUGAUGGAGGACCGCCGCGGUUCUGACGUGCAAAUCGAUCGUCGGACAUGAGUAUAGGGGCGAAAGACUAAUCGAACCAUCUAGUAGCUGGUUCCCUCCGAAGUUUCCCUCAGGAUAGCUGGCGUUUGUUGUCGUAGUUUGACCUGGUAAAGCGAAUGAUUAGAAGUAUUGGGGGCGAAAUGCCCUCAACUUAUUCUCAAACUUUAAAUGGGUUCGAUGUAUGACUCGCUUCAUUGGAGUUAUACGUUGAAUACGAAUGCCUAGUGGGCCAUUUUUGGUAAGCAGAACUGGCGAUGUGGGAUGAACCAAACAUCUGGUUAAGGUGCCUAACAUCACGCUCAUGAGAACCCACAAAAGGUGUUGGUUGAUAAAGACAGCAGGACGGUGGACAUGGAAGUCGUCAUCCGCUAAGGAGUGUGUAACAACUCACCUGCCGAAUCAACCAGCCCUGAAA
rnacentral:rRNA from 1 species